rnacentral:rRNA from 1 species
AGCGAACGCUGGCGGCAGGCUUAACACAUGCAAGUCGAACGGGCUUCUUCGGAAGUCAGUGGCAGACGGGUGAGUAACACGUGGGAACGUGCCCUUCGGUUCGGAAUAACUCAGGGAAACUUGAGCUAAUACCGGAUACGCCCUUUUGGGGAAAGGUUUACUGCCGAAGGAUCGGCCCGCGUCUGAUUAGCUUGUUGGUGGGGUAACGGCCUACCAAGGCGACGAUCAGUAGCUGGUCUGAGAGGAUGAUCAGCCACACUGGGACUGAGACACGGCCCAGACUCCUACGGGAGGCAGCAGUGGGGAAUAUUGGACAAUGGGCGCAAGCCUGAUCCAGCCAUGCCGCGUGAGUGAUGAAGGCCUUAGGGUUGUAAAGCUCUUUUGUCCGGGACGAUAAUGACGGUACCGGAAGAAUAAGCCCCGGCUAACUUCGU